AUCUGCUAUGAUGAUUAUAUGAAAACUAAUUCACAUGUCAGACUUCAGAGAUUUUUCAAAUCAGUGAGAAGAAAUUUCAUAUUUUCUGAGCACUAU